UGAGUACACGGAAUCAACUUUACUUUCGUUGGAACUUUUCCUAGACGAAUAGACGGAAUGUGGCUGCAUAUUUUAGACCCUUUUGUCUCCAUUAUUCGUCGUCUCCUUGUCUUAUAAAUUGUAAAAGGCAGAGAUUGAGAAUGUUACUAGAAAAUGAUUCCACGAGAAUUUUCAGAUUUAUUGUUUAGAUUUGGGACUUCCCAUUUCUCUCCAAGGAUAAAGUCAUUUAGCAAAUUUUGUUUUAAAGUAUAAAAAUUAAGCUUCAAAAUGAGUCUUUGUAUUGCCCAGUUGCAUGGGUCAAAGCCAACUUAUGAUUAAAAUAUUAUAUUAUAAUAACAAUAAAUAAUAUAAUGCUUUAAAAAUAUCUCUCACUCUUCAAAACUAAGUGUGGAGUAGUAACCGCCCAGUAUCAGUAGUAUAAUAAGCCAGAUAGUAGAGACGUCAUAAUGAUGUAUAAUAAAUACAAAACGUUAAUAUAAUUUCAUAAAAACGGUGUCAUCAAAGAUAUAAAAAUGAUCGUAUUUCUUGUGUUAAUCAUCAUUUCCCUCAUAGCAAUUACAGCAGCAACAUGAGGAUUACAUAUUUUAUUGUAUUUGUGCUAGCCUUUGUGGCAACUGGAAUAUACCAAGUUGAAGCAGGAAGGUCAUCUAAACCAGUCACCCAAGCACCAGGAAGAAAACACGGCCAUUAAUAGCCUUAUUUUAAUAUUAAUUUAUAUUAAUGCAUUUUAAUAUUUUAACGUACAAAUACAAUAAAAAUGUUAUUUGACUGAAAAAGCUCUUAUAACCUAACCUCCAUAGAAA
rnacentral:lncRNA from 1 species